rnacentral:lncRNA from 1 species
UUGUGUUUGGUUGAGAAUCUGGUAAAUAGUUAUAAAUCAUUCCAUCUCGCAAGAAAGUUCCCCUUGAACCGUUCUUUUCUCAGAAAGAUAAAACAAGUAUUCUGAAAAAUUGGUACAGAACAGAUAUUUCAUGUUUGGUCUUUCUAACCUAUUUACCCCACUAAACCGAGGGGAAAAAGUUUUCUAUGAAAGGAUGGCAUAGUUUAAACCAGAUUCUCAACCAAACACAGCCUAAAAGAUUGUGCUUAUUGACAAUUGAAUUUGCACUUCUCUACUCUAUGCACCAUUAUUCACUUCAAUAUCAUCUGAAAAAUUAAAGAUCUGGACACCACACAAAAAAUAACCAAACAGGAAACUAGUCUAUUCUUGCAUCUUGUGCUAUUCUUCUCAUGAAAAUUGAGCACUAUUUGCAGAUGAUAAUCUAACAGAUGCAUAACUAAAGAAUUAGGACUGCAUAAAUUUCCCAAAAAAGGGACUCACAUGGACUAGUUACAUGAAAGUUCUUGUUCCUUUCAGAUUAAGAGACUGCUCUACAGCUACCACUAUGAUAUAUUUGCUUUUACACUAGCAAAUACAAACCUAUUAAUUCCUAUUUUCUUUGUAGAUCUUCUGUUCCGCCAUUAAGAGAGAUCAUGUUCUGUUUAUCAGUUCUGAAGCUAAAAAUUCUACACCAAUGAUUUGACAGGUUAGAAGCAGGAAAAAUACCAGAGCAUCCAGUGUCGCACUUCCAUAACAUCAAAUGCCAAACAGAAAGCAAUUUGAAUAGCAGGGGAGAUAUAAUGCACUAUCUUCCACCUCCAUCGGCUGCCUGAAUGGAUUUAUCUGAAUCUACAGCACAGGUUGCAUCACCAUCAUCAAAGCUUAAUUUCAGAUGAGCAUCAUCAGACAGAUAAAACAGGAGAACAAACAUACUGGUGGCUUGAGAGGUUGACAAGUCAUAGUGCUUAUGCAACGGGCACCAAGAUAUGCAGCUUCUUCGCAGAAGUCAGAAAAUACCGCUGGGACACCCAUCUCCUUGAUAAGUUUCUGAAAGACAUAGCAUGUGUAAGCUGUAUGCAACUUUUCAACUUACCUGCAGUAACUAGUGCAGCGUCUCUAAAACAUUGUACUGCAAGCAGCAAAGAUGCAAUGUUUGGUGAUUAUCUCGAAGUCCACGCAAUUUGAUGAUCAUUCAAAGUUUUUACACAAAUAACCAACUUGGAAAGAAGCAUGAAACAAAUCAACAAAUUCGAGGGCAUAGUGACCAAAUUUACGUACAUGAAAUACAGUAGUGAGGUCAUGCCAACUAUGCUUCUAUACAAGCAUGCAAAAUAGCAGUUCAUACAUAAAAUGUUAUUUGAAAUUGUAUAUAACUAUCACCACCCUCAGUAAUAACAAUACAAAAGAAAACUUAGAAACAGAGACUCCCGUGUGGGUUUCAAGGUGUUGAAGCAAGUUUGUGGAGAGCAAUACUGCUGUGCUUCUUCAGUUUCCCAUAGAGAGAACACUUCGAAAAGACAAUAACCAGAAAAUGAAUGAUAAUAGCUGAAUUUGUAUAUGAGCAGGCUACAAACAGUAGAAAUGUCGUGGGCAAGAAGAGAGCUUAGUGAUGGUAUCUUAAAGACAGCAAAUGACACAAAAAUACUGCAGUGCAAUCAGAGGCACAUAAGGUAACAAUAGACUCACAGUUUGCCCAUCACAGGCAUUGUAAGGCUGAUAGAUGGUAAGAUGAAUGAAAUUUUUAACAAGCUAAAGAUAAUGUGCAAAAUCAGGAAAAGGCUAACCAUUAUGUGAUCAAACUUUCAGCUCAGGCUUGAUUUGCACAUGGCACAGCUGGCUUAAGCAUUUUGGGGUGGUUUUACCAUCAAUCAAAUGAACCUAAAUCUGACAUUGUUUUGUCGAGAAAGUAGAUAUCCCAGAUAAUAGAAAUCUCAAUUUCAUAACAGUAAGAGGACUGAGGUCAUGCCAAACUGCAAGUCCUCCUUGAUUGAAUGAAUGUGAAAUAAGAUAAUACCUAGUAAUAAUCAGGUUGUCCAUAGAGCAAAAUUGGAAAAUACUAUCCCCUAUAGAGAUAUUUAAAUUAACAAAAAAUGGUUAGGCUUUGCUUCGAAAAGGGGGCCACCAAAACCAAAUUUCUCGAACAAGGCCCAAGGUUCUUAUUUGGGAGCAGAACUAGCUUGAUGAAGACAAAUAUGUUGAGAAAGACAAUUUAUUCUGGAAAGAACAAACUUUUAUCAAGUAGAAAUAUUGUACAGAUCCAAGACCUCCCCAUAAAUGGCUAGCCGGAAGGUAUUGUUUAUGUGCCUUGGCCCUGCAUAAGUACCUAAUAUCUUUCGAGCAGACAACCAAUGUAAGACUAAAUAUACGCCCGAACAAGUCUUCACAUACUCCCCCUACUUAAACCCUAGCAUCCUUGCAAGGUUAGGAGUCCAGAUCCAAUUAAAUACAAAUCAAAUCAAAUCCAAUCACAAAUAUUACAAUCAGCUUGUGGUUAGCCUCAAAAGGGCUAAUAUUGCAGUGUCUCCUAACCCACAUGGGUUAUAGGCCGGAUCCAUUCUGAUACCAUUUGUAGACACCCAGGUACUCACGAAAAUGGCUAGCUGGUAGGUAUCGUUUAAGAUCCUUGGCAUUGUAUAAGCACGCAAGAUCUCCUCAAAGCACAACUAAUGUGGGACUAAAUGCACACUUGCAUGGGUCCUCACAAAUGUGGUCUUCAUUCCUAACAAGUAGAGGAGCCCACCCAUGAAUUACAACAACAAUCAUCAACAGCCAAUAAUGGUCAUUUGAGCAUGGCCAAAAAUCUCCUCAUAAUCAAUAUGAUGCUCUUGAUUAAAUCCAAAUGCCACCAUCUUGUAAAACAUGAAGAAAACAUUUGGAUCCACAUUAUUAAGGGAUACUUGCAUAACAUAUGGAUCAUGAUCACUUUGGAAAGAAAUUAGAUACCAGGUCUGUGUGCAGCAGAUUGUAUUAAGCUUCUCAAUCUUAGCCUCCUUGUAAGAGAUAAGUAUGUGUACAACAAUCCAUAUGAACAUACAAAUGUAAAAGGACAAUGAAAACUCAAUUAAUUAGCACCAUUGAAGGUCAGAAAAGGCUUAGGAGUCAUUUGAUCACAGAUAAUUUUGAAAAUGCUAGCCGUGCCUAGGAGAAAUCAAAGAGGUAGUGUUGUCAUCUAUAGACACCUCAGCAGGACACUGCUGAAUGAAAAUGUUGAGAAAUGAGAUGUUGGGGAAUUCGCAAAAGGUCAAACCUCCAAAUAGAGGUAGAUAAGGAGCACAAGUGGGAUUCAGAAAAACUGAUGACUAUAGUUAGGAAGGACAUAAAGAUCAUGGAAGGUGUGGAAGUGAAAAAUAGGCAAAAGAGAGGAUGGCAACAUUUCAUGGGCAAGACCGCUGGUUAAAUACAUCAAAGAAAAUGGAGGCACACCCAUAAGACAAAAACCAAUUAAGCAACUUAUAUUUACUAGAAAGGUGAUAUCUACCAAUAAGAGGAGAGAGACUAAGAAAAUAGAGAAAGAGCGAAAGAGAAAAACUGAGCUCCUAUGGUGAAGGAAAAGCACCUCUGCAGUAUUGCUUCACUAGCGAGAAUUAAGGCAAUACGAGUGUCAUUGUUCCAGUGGUGGGAAUAGGGUGCAAGUAGCAGUGGAGCUGCAACUGGCAUGCAUGGAGAAGAAAUGGGAGGGCCCAGGUUUCAGGAAUGAAGAUAGACCAAUGGAUAUCGAUUUAUGGACGUCUAUUGGCAAGCUUAAGGCAAAGCCAUGAAGGAGAAGGGGGUACAAAAAUUAUCGCAAACAAAGAGCAGUAAGGAAGCUAGGGUUUUCGUUUAAAGGGGAUGUAGCAUUACUUUAUAGGUCAAGGCCAUCCAUCGAAAAGCAAAUUAUAUGGCUGUUGGAACAUCUGGAAAGGGCGUUAACUGUGGAGGGUUUUUUUCCUUUUUCUUUUGUAGUAGAAAAGCAGUGCGAUGCAAGUUCUAUGGAAUGCUAUGAAAUAUUCUACAAAUGGGACUCACCAUGCUCUCCCAAGACCCAUAAUGCUCCACUGAGGUGCUUAUGAAGUUGGGUGGUUUAGUCCUAAAUGGAUAAGAAUGCGGCAGAUGCUUCCCAGAAGCCUGUGGUCCCAGUAAGAAGUUUGGGUCCUGUCAUCCUUGUUUUGUUUUCUGCCUUCUAUUUGUCUUUCUUGUUUAGUUACUUUCCUUAUUGCAUUUCUUUAAUAAUACUUUAGGUGGGAGGCUUCCACCUCUCUCCUUAUUCUCAAAAAAAAGUAUCUAAUAUAAAACAUAUAUAUGAUGUAUAUUAAUGCUACACAUGUAUAAAUUUUGUAACAUACAUGUUCACUGUUUAUGAAGGAUUCAGCUUGAAUCCAAGCUCAAGCCUAAACAGGAGAUGCCCAAACCCAGCCCCAAAGCAACCAGGCCUUGACUUUCUACUCAUUGGAGAAACACUGGUGACUACUUAGUGGUUUUGUUAACUAUAACACUCAUCUCAUUUCUUUGUUUGAACUUUGCAUUAUAGCACCUCCAAUCUAGAUAAUUCUUGUACCUUCUCUGGAGCAGAGCAUCAUUUGGUAAAAUUCAACCCUCUGGAACAUCAUUUCGUAAAAGUCAACCCUCUGCAUAUACUACAUUCUUAAUGACCAAUCUGGUUUUUUAAAGCAAAACUUGUAUGAUCCAACAAAGUUUCAGGGAGGCAUUUGCAAGAGUAUCAGGGGAAAAAAUUGCACUUACAUCUUAACAUUUAUUCUAAUAUUAAACCCAAACUCCAAACUGCCUCUUUGUUUGUGAGCCUUCAAGUCAUUUGUCUCCAGAUCUCUCCCUCUUCAAACCACUAUAACAAAACCCAUCUUAAAUUAAAAUGCCCCUCUUACUUCUUGCUCAUGGGAGAGAAAAAAGGAGAUGUGCACCUCCCAAAAUUGCGGGGUGUAAUUAUCAAUAUCCAGGUUAGGUGAUAACAACCAUGGAUACUACCUCCCAUGUGCAUUGCAUGGGCUAGAUUCUAGUGCUUAUUGUACUAUCCAUAUUUACAGUCUUUUUUUUCUUGCUCAUGCAUAUUAUAAUCAUUCUUUGUAUGACAAAGUUCAUAUAUAGGUGAUAUAUAAAAACCGUAGAUUGUGUCAUUCAAUCAUUGGGCAUCAGUCCUUUAUAUAGUAUACAUUGUGACUCAUGCCCUAAUAAAACACUGUUUUCACUCCAAUAAAUGCUUGUAGUUUCUUGAUGCAUAAGGUAUUUUGUUCUUCCUUCAGAAAAGAACAGCAAGUGCAAUUUUGUCAUUACAAAUUUGGAACACAAGAAGCAUCAAGUACAUGACAGAUCCUAAUAUAUGACAGGUUUUAAAGAAUGGAAACAUGUACAAUUAGAACCAAGUAUGAAAAAGCAAAACUUUCAACUAAAUGUUCGAUGCUUCAUAUGUAGAUAUCAUACAUGGCAACAAUCACAUUAUGUCAUUGUAAAUGUCAACAGAAUAAAAAUUCAAACCCCUGUAAAAUAGUUAGAAUUGAUAAUGAACUCAAGAAGAGUGAAAGUUUGUGAGAACUGAGAAGACAUACAAUUGUUGGUAACCAAUUGGAAUAAGCAGCAACACCAGCAUUUGGUGCAACAAUCAGCUGAGGAUAGGAAUCCUGUUAAAAGUUUGGGAGAAAGUUAAGAAAUAACAAAUAACACAUCUAAAAGAUUUGGAUAUGCACAAGGAAAUUCAAAUUUUUUCAAAAGAUCAGACAUAAAUGUGGUACUUAAAUUGAUAAAUAUCAACUCCUUACAUAUAUGACGACUUCACACUUGAUUUUAAGCUAAUUUUUUUGGGGUAAGAUAGAAAAAUAAUUUAUGAGCUUUCUAUGUAAAGAACAAGCUCAUGAAAAACACAUGAUAGGGUCAUUCUUAAUCUACAGGAACAUAGCAUAAAUCUGAACAUACGAAAUCAAGUACUACACUUACUCUCUGGGAAUUCACAGAAAGCAAAUAGAGUUAAAGCUAACUUGCCUCGGUUUUAUCUAUAUCAAUUAUCAGGAUCAGGACUUCACAUGUAUGGAGCUUGAAACAAUUUAAGUUGAAGAUCAAGUAGAAACUCAUUGACCACCGAGCCUUUUAUAGUAAGGACCUUUUAGAUUAGUUAAAAAUUUAAGUCAUUUCUUAUUAGAUGAAAAUAUCAUAUUGAUGCCUCUCAAAUCUCUUUGGCUAUCUCAAAAAAGGUCACAAGCAGAUCCAAGGUUCCAAAUUGUACAUGAUCUAUGUAGAUGAGCAACUCUUCGAUCUUGACAUAAGUGAAGUAUUUCUCCUUCCCUUGAGCCCUUGUAAAGGAUUUGAAUGUUGUUGGCAUGGGAAGAGUUAUUAAAAAUCAACUUAGUAGAAGUAGAAAUAUCUCAAGUGUUUAAGUUAUAAAUUUUAAAAUUGGAGUACAAAAACAAAAAGAUACCAACAAAAAUAUUUAUUACCGACAGAGAAUCAACCUAAGGUUUGCCGGACCAAUCGGUACCAUACCAUAUCGGUAAACCAGUAUGUAGUCUUGUACCGUACCGAUACUUGGUACGUCUCGCCAUCGUGUACCGUACCGCAUACCGACAUUGUAAUGGAUUAGUACCGAUAUGGGGUUUGGCACUGAGACAGUGAACCUUGAAUCAACCAAACAAGAAUUAAAGUAUAAAAACAUAAUGUGACAAACUGUGCAUCACUUAGAUACCAGUUUAUAUAAGACUUUAGGCUUACAUAAUAGAUCAAAAAUAAGACCCUUAAAUCAAAAAAAUAUGACGAAUAUUUAGGAUUUCAUAAAAUAUUAGAAAACUAAAAAAGAUGUAAAAAGAUUAGUAAGGCCAAAUAUGCAGCAUAUGAUAAUUUAUAUGAUAAGCUUGAGUUAGAAAAAGUGAGAAUGAAAUUUACAAAAUAGCUAAAACUAGCGUAAAGAAAACUAAAGAUAUUGAUCAAGUUAGAUGCAUUAAGGUGAGGAUAAUAGGAUAAUCAGUGAUCACUGAACCAACCCAAAUCAGCCAGUUCAGUUCAUACCGAAUCGAACUGACACCAAGUCAAGAUGGUUCAGCAGGUCAAAUCAGUUCGGUUAUAAAACCUCCACCUUUGUUUGAUGGUUCAAGAGCCUUCGAGAGCUCUCUCAUCCACUUAGACAUGGACACCGCUCACUCCCCCAUCUUUGACGCCGACCAUCACCGAUAGGCCUCCCUCACUCCCUCUCUCUCCGCCAAAUGCCGCUCGCUCCCCCCUUUAUAAUGCCGACUAUCGCCAAUAAGCCUCCUCCCACUCCCCCGUUCCUUUGUCUCUCCAUUUGAUGCCGCUUGCUCCCCUCUCUUCAACAAUGUGACGUCAUCGCUAGUAAGCCUCCCCUACUCUCUCCCCCUUCCUCAUUCCCUCCCUCCCUCUCCAUCCCUCUUUCUUCCUCUCUCUGCUUCUCCCUCUCCUUGUUUCAGUAAUGCCUCAGAACGGCAUGGUGCAAACCUAUAUCAUGCCGAACUAGUCGCCGACCGAUAUGAGCCUUAGUAUUGGUCCAGCAGACCUGGAGGAUACUAAUGAAAGAUGAGGAAAUUAAAGAAUGAUGGAGGUAUUAUUUUAAAAAUUCCUAAAUGAGAAUCUUACUGAAGAAAUAUUUAUUGAAAAAGUACAAGCAAGAAAAGGCCGAGGUUUUAGUCUUACAAUUCAUAAAAGUGAAGUAGAUAGCUUUCAAAGAAAAGCAAAGAGGUAAAAUAUUACGAUUGGAUGAGAUACCUUAUUAAGGUUUGAAAGAACAUGGAAGAUAUUACAUUAAUUGGAUUGCUAACUUAUUUAAAUUAUGAAAAAUAAAAAAAUAACAAAUGGGUGGAGAAAAGUAUUGAAGUACCAGCUUAUAAGAAUAAAAGUCAUCUAUAAAUUAUUCUAACCAUGGUCUGUUGUGCCGGUACCGGGCAUCGGACCGGUUGCCCUAUGGCACGGGUCGGUACAGGCCCGCAUCGUGUCGUGCUGGGCUUGUACCGACACAGUAGAGAAGGUGGGGGAGAGGGCGAAUGAGAGGAAAAGAGAGAAGGGGAAGAGAGAAAAUGCCGUGCUGGGCUCGUACUGACACAGUACGACCGGAACCGUCUAGUUUGGGACGGUUCCGCUGACCCUUGUUCUAACUAUCAAGAGUUAAGCUUAUGAAUCACACAAUGAAAUUAUAGAAAAUGAUAAUUGAACAAAGAUUAAGAAAAGUAACAACAAUUUCAGAUGACCAAUUUAGAGUUAUGCCUGAAAGAUCAACAAUGGAGGGUAUCUUUUCACUUAACAAAUGAUAGAAAAAUAUGAGAAAAAGGAAAAGUCAUUAAUGAUCUUUAUUGGAUUUAGAGAAAGCUUGUUAUAGAGUGUGAAGAAAAUGAUUUGAUGGGCUUUAAGAAGGAAAGGUAUACAUAAACAGUAUAUUGAACAAAUUAAAUACAUGUAUGCUGCCAUUAAUAAGUGUUAGAAGUUGUUGCAGAACAAUAAAUAUUUUUCUAGUCAUACUAAGCUUACAUCAAGGAUUGACAAAGCUCAAAUCUUUUUGAAUUAAUUAUAGAUAAACUCAGCUAAUAUUCAGGAAGAUAGGGUGUUUGUUAUUUGCGGAUGAUAUAGUAUUAAUUGAUGAAAAAAAACUAAAUUAAAUACUAAAUUGGACUUAUGGAGAAAAACUUUAGAGGAUAAGGGCUUAAAUUAGUACAACACAGACAGAAAAUAUGAAAUAUAAAUUUAAUGAGACUAAAAAUAUAGAGGUAAUAUUAAUUAAAACUGAAGGAGAAGAGAUAUCACAGAGAGAUAAAUUUCAUUAUUUAGGAUAUACUGCACAAAAUAAUUGAAAAAUAAAUGAAAAGAUAUGUAACAGAUUUAGAGCUGGUUAGAUUAGAUGGAAAUGUGCAUCUUGAAUAUUAUGUGAUAGGUGCAUAUCUUAGAAAUGAAAAAUUUUAUAGAACAACUAAAGCUACAAUGUUAUAUGGGUCAAAGUUCUAGGCAAUAAAGAAAUUACAUGAAAGAGAAGAGUGUGGAAGAAAUAAGAAUGUUAAGAUGGAUGUAUCAUAAAACUAGAAUAGAUAGAUUAAGAAAUGAGCAUACCAAAAGAGUUGUAGGAGUUGCACAGCUUAAGGACAAAAUGAUAGAAAAUCGAGUGAAAUGGUAUGGACAUAUGCAGAGAAAUUUCAAGAAGGUUCUUGUAAGGAUAGGUACUUUAGUUUGUGUUGUAAGUUGUUAAAACAAAAAAAGGGAGACCCUAGGUAACAUGGAUAGAGGUUGUAAGGAAUCAUAUGAAGAAACUUAGAAUAACAUCAAAGGUGACCAUAGAAAGGAACACUUACUGAAUAAGGAUCCAUAAAGCCGAUUCCACAUAGUUGGCAAAAUGCUAGAUAAUUAUGAUCAUAAUUAUGAUACUAAUUUAAAGCAAAAGGAAGUUAGAGUGAUAUUGUUAUCUCUAUGUAAUCAUUAGAUUUAUUUCUUUGGUUGUCGUUUCAAUAUUUAUAAUUUAUUUGUCUAUUGAAAGUAAAAUUUAAUGUUAAAGAUUUACUCAAUAUUUGCAUGGAAAAUUAAUUUAGCAAGCAAUCUGAUUAAUUACUUCUAAAAUAAAAUACAAGAACAACAUUAUAGGGAGUUCACUACUACCUAAAAGAAAUGCUAGAUCCUAGAAGAGUGUUUGCUAUUAUCAUAUAUGAAUCUGCAACAUGUACACUCACAAGGCAGCUCUUCAGAAAAUGUCAUGCACAACUUACAAAGGUUAAGUUUCACUUUGCAUUUAAUGAAUUGAUCUGGUAGUAUAUUAGUAAAAACUAAGUAGUAAGAUGGAAAUAACCUUUAUUAUAUCCAUAUAUCUGUCAUGAUAGAAACCCUUGUGAAGCUUUAGCACCACUUUAGAUGUUUGUCCAUUUGAUCCCCCAGUAUCAGAAUCCAUGCAUGAAGAUUUACAUGGGCAGCUCUCCUCAGAACACUUAACAUAUUCGCAAAGCUCUAACAUCAUGCCAUCCCUAUUAGCCGAAAUACAAUAAGAAAUAGGGUCAAUUGAAAGCAACUAGGAAAAUAAUGAUUGCUCUAUAAAAGAAAACAAAAUUAUAGAUGAAUAUUUAGCUCAUCUUAUAGAUGAAUAAUGAUUGCUCUAUAAAAGAAAACAAAAUUAUAGAUGAAUAUUUAGCUCAUCUUAUAGCCAAUUAAAAACAAAUCAGCAUACACCCGCACACUAACAGGUGUGGAGAAAAAAGAAGUAUAGAGAUAAUUGUGGAGAUGAGACUAUAACCAAUAAGCUCAAAACAAUUUAUUUGUUAAAGGUUCUAAAUUUCUUCUAGUCAUUCACAAUUACAAAGGUCAUACUUUCAUUGUCCAACCAUUCUCUUCCUGAUCCUUCAACAUGAAUUCCUUCCAUGCCUUCUCAAGUUACCCUCCUCUUUUUAUUCCUCCAGGCAAAUUCUACCUCUAUCCAAACUAACACCUCCUGUCUUUGCUGUACAUAAUUAAGCCAUAUUGAAUACUUUCCCUUCACUUGCUAACCCCUAGAAUACUUCCUUCCAAAGGAACCAAAAAAAGAGCAUAUAUAGUAAGUAGUUUAAUUGCAAUAUAAUAGAUGACAAAUGGUAACCAAUUCUAAACUUCUUUGACCGUUUAUUAGAGUGAUAAGCACCUCUAACAUGUCAUACCUUCCUUUGCCAAUGCCUAAAAGGAUUAAAUCUUAUCACAUACUUGCGAUCUACGAUUACCUCACGAUGAUAUUUUGCCUGCACUCAUGAACAUUGACCGAUUAACUAUUUUAGAUUCUUCCAAACCAAAGUACGCCAUACUGUACUGACCCAGACGAUAUGGAGCAUACCAUACUGUACCGGUUUAAUACCAGUAGAGGGGCAUACCAAUACUCGGUACACCGAACCAACCCCCACAUCAAGCGUACUGCCACAGUAAUAGCAUGGCAUUGGUACGAGACCUGGUACCGAGACGGCAUACCUUGCUCCAAACACUCUCACUCACUUUCUCAAGUUAUUUCUCUCCCUGUUUACAUUUAAAUCGCACAAAAACCAGAAUCUCAAUGUUUUGGAGGUAUGUAAUAUUUGAUACACUUAUGAAGAAAAUAUCAAUUGAAUUUUGGACGUCUCCUGCCAACAACUUAAGUGCUUACAAUGUGCAACUAGAAUCCAUAUAUUUUUACUCACUGUACUUGCACGGAACUACCAAACAUUUCAUUGCUGGUCCUCGCCAUGCUGGAUGUCAAUCAUGACCGACAAUGUGGUUUCUUAAUUCAAAUGACCACUCAGGUCAAGCAUCCUUACUGGCAAGGUCUAAGCUAAAAUCCUCACCUAAUUGUUGGUCAUCUGAUCAUCUCUGACUAUGUUAAGGGGUGUGUAAUACAUAAAUGAAAAUCAAUAUACAAAAUAAAACUUUAAAAAAUGGAAAACAUAUAGGCUCAUAUUCUCAGUGAUUAUGUUCGUGAUAUAUAAAUGCAAUUCUCUACACUUUUAAUUGCAUUUCAGAAUAUUGUUACCUGUGUUGUUUAAAAUCUUGACUGCUAUAACAGUUCUAGAGGUCCUUCGUCAUGUCAAAAAUAAUAUACAAAUAGUCAACAGCAGUUAUUCCACUAUGACAGCCUGAUUUGAGCCUUCUAGUGUUUACACGAAAGCAAUUAUUUUAUACUAAUAUUAUACUAUAAUACAGGAUAGUUUAUCUGAAAAUUAAUCGGCAGACAGCAUUUUGUAGCAUGAGACUGAUUUUUAACUGAUUAUCCAGUCAACAUGUUAUCCCAAUAAAAGUCGAGCAACAAAGUGGAAUGGGCAAAUAAAGGCCAAAUCCUAGCUGCCAGUUAAGCAGAAUUAGAUAUUAAGCAUAUUCUGUUGCAUUACUUUUCAUUUGACCCCUUUAAAUCUAUAUCUAUCCACUUUAGCAUCACUACCUUCAGUAUCCAAUAGAAGUCAAAACACAGGCAACCCAAACCCAAACUUCAUUCAUUUGUUACACUUGAUCAAUUCAUUUAAACUAGUGUUUCAGAAAGUUAUAGAUAAUUUUUUUAAAUAUAUAGGCAUGAGCAACCGAUAUACAAUAAGGAGGGGUGCUUCUCAGAAAUCUAUGGUAAAUCAGUAGAUUGUGGAAAUGACAAGCAGUCAAAAUAGAACACAGGAAGGCAGAUAUAAAGUAGGGGGAAACCCUCUUAAGAUCUAUGAUGAUGUGUGUAAUUUGUUAAAAUGCUGACUUGGCAAAUUUUAAAUUAAUAAAAUUAGACAUCAUGAGUAAGAAAGAAUACUCUCUUAAAUAUCUAGCAUGAAGUGAGAGAUGAAAACCAACAUAAAUUGGGGAACUGCUGGUCCAACAAGUUCUAUUUGCAGCUGAACAGCAGGAAAAAGUGCCCGCAACUCUCCAAACACCGCAAGUUGCCAAAGCUCUUUAUCAGGACCUUUAGACAUUGAUUUACAAAAUCAAUUGUAAUGAAAAAUUUAUGAGAAUAUGAAUAAAAUAUAACAUAUUUACAUCCAAACAUUGAUUUGCGAUUAUAUUUUGAAUAGUAACUUGAAUAUGGAAUUAUGGGCCUCCCUAAUGAUAAUAGAAAGUUAGAAACAAUUGAGAUCAAAUGCUUCACAGAAGAAGAAGAAAUUUGAAAAACAGUCUGAUCCUACUCCACAAUUAACUCUUCAUAAGCCAAAAAUGUUUCAUUGGUAACCUCAAAUAUGCUCAGUUGCUUAACAAGAAGAAGACUUUUCUUUAAAUUACAAGAAGCAGAUAAUUUUGUUAUCUGAGCACUAAUUAUUAUGAAACGUCAAAGUGGAUGAGAUAUAGCAGACAUCAGAAAACUAGCCUUGCAACUACAUCUAGAUGCGUUGAGCUCCAUCACUAAGAGUUUUACAAGAAUAUUGUAAGAAAAAACUAUCACUGAUAAUUCAAUAAUAAUCCAAUUUCUAAAAUAUAACUCUUACAUAUCCAUAAUCAGGAAGUUUCAAGAGUUGUUACCUAAAUAAUGUAUGCACAAUCUGUUGCCAACUUCUGAAAUUAAACUUCGAACAGCUAAGAGUUGAUAGCAGUGGUAUAUGGUAAGUGGCUGUAAGAGAAGAUGACAAAGCUAAGAUAGACUAAUACAAUCACACAGAUUUUCUAUACUCAUUGAAAAGAAUAUUGAAGUCACGUAAAACAUUGUUUUCAACAGUUCUUACGGAUGUGCAAUAUAUUAUAUAAGUCCUUUUAAAAGAAUUUUGGGUAUAAAAUACCAUAUGAAGAUACAGAACACCAAUGACAAAAAGAGUUGACUACAGCAGAUAAAACUUUGGUAGGCACUCUCAAAAAAUUGAUUCAAUAUAAGGGUCUUUUAAUAUAUUGACAUCAAGUCAGGUGACUAACCUAACUUUUUUCUUUUAAAAAGAUAAUAGCUUUAGCUUGACUAAGAAUACACAGGUAAAGAAUUAUAACAAGUGUUGAUUAUGUUUAUAUGAGCAAGGAUUAGUCUGUCAUAUAAAUGUAUUAUAUUGUACUAAGCCAGCACGUCAUAUGCGUUGGCAAGGAAAGAUUUGUGACAUUGCCUAAAAGACACAUAACUAGCACAUUAUGGGCCUGUUUGGAUGCCCCAACAGCUAAUCUCCAUGUUAAAUAUUCUUCAAUGAGAAACUUCUGCCAAAUUAAGUUGGUGAUCAAUAAAAUAGAGGAAUAUGAGGAGCCUAAGAUUCCAUUUUUCCUGACUUUUAUAGUAAAUCACAAAUUUAGCGGUUUCUAUUAUCCCUAAAAAAUUGGAACAACUGAUUAGUAAGCCCCUUCGCUCCCUCAAACUCCUACUAAUCUUAAUCAACAAAAAUACAGAAUAUUGCCCUGCAGGGUUUUAAAUACCAGUGGGACAGCAAGGCUUCCACCGUCCCAACUGUCAGACAAGGCACCAUGCCAAGUGUCCAAAUGGGACAAGUUGGGAAGGAACAGGAAAGGGACGAAUAUCCACCAUCUUGAGUCUGGACAUGUGUAUGGCAAUCCACAAUAUUAAGAGAACCGAUGCGGCAUAUUUGCCUCAUGCUAUAAUGACAACAUGUGGGACAUCUUAUGGAGAGACAGCAUUGACAACAUAAGAUUAUUCUCUAAAAAAUUCUUGUUCUCCUUGUUUCUGUCUUCUUAGACGAUAAUAUUAUGAUCAGAAUAGUUAUAGGCUACAUAUUUUGUUCAGAACAUAAUCUGGAGUAUAAUGGGUGAGUCGGUGAGAAGAAAAUUAAAUAUGACAUGUCUAUACCAGAAGCAAAACAUCUAUCUAGAAAGGGGUCGAAUUUUACUAUGGCUUGCCAAAUGAUGCAUAAACUAUUGUCUUGUUUUUGGCUGACAACAGCAGGCACCAGUUAACACUAUCCUGCAAGUAGACUGUCAUUACAAUUACAUUUGGUUUAGAAACUAUAGCCUUUUAAUAAUUCAGUAUACGCUGUUCAUCAAAUAAUUCCAUGAUGAGUUUUAGGCCGCAGAAAGCUUAUGCAAUAAAAUGGCAAUUGGCUAGCACAUGCAGAUGGCUUACCGUUCCAAAACUGUCUGAAAAAAAAAAGUUGAACUUUGUGUACCACAGCAUGCAUUACUAACACAAACUAGAACUAAAAACAAGUUAUGGAAUGUCCAGAAAUAAGCUUCAAGGUAUAUAUAUUGUAAAAUUGAAAUUCUGACAUACCCAAUGAAGUAAUAAAGCAACUGGUGAAUCAAAUGGAAGGCAUCGCCAUUCAUAAUAAUCUUUCCAACUCCUCAAACAAGUUGAUAGUGGACUUUUUGGUUCUGUUGCAGUGAAAUAGUAGUAAUCAAACAAAAGGUCAAAACAAGGAUGACAAGAAGCAGAAACUUACCAGUACAUGGGCAUAGGGAACUUGGAAGUUUCCAAUCAUCAAGUAUCCUGCUAACGAAAUAGUAGUUAAACAGACAUAUAAAAAACAAACUGCCAAUUGUUUGCAAAGAAAGGCAUAAAUUAAACUUAUAUUGCAUGAAUAUCAAGUAUUCUUGAUCGAAAGCAAGUAUUCUGAUUUCAAUAUUUACAAAAUUCAGAGGAUUCUCAAAAAGCCCAAUUAAGAUAAUACUAUCCUAUUGAGGCCGUGUUUGAAUUCAGGACAGCUAACUUGGGGUUGGUUAUCUUUAACUCUAGAGGACCCUUAUUCACUUAUUGUUGGUUAGCAAUAUCCCUUAUUUGGUUGAAGUUUGAGGGUUAGUGGGAUAAAUUGUGGGGAACAAGAAUGAAAAGUAAGAGGGAGAAGAGAGCUCCAUGGUUUGAUCUUAUUUAAAACUUAUUUCACCAAGGGGUGAAAUAAGUUCGCACAAAUAAGCAUCUUUUUCGUUGCACUGACUGGGCGAACCUAACCUGGGGAAAUAAGCUGGUGUCUUGGAUGUUAAUGGAUAAACCCCACACUAACCCCCAUUAACUUGGCAUCAAACAGGACCUAAGUAUUUUAGCUACAAUAAUGAAAACAUGGUUGCAACGUGCUGAUAAGGAUCAAAGACAUAGUUCUUCCUAUCCAACACUACAACUUUAGAGUGUUGAUUUAUCUAAAACAUUUUUGUAUCAAGUUUUUUAUUUUAACAUACCAUGAGCACACUAAUUAAGGAUUUGAUCUAGAUCUGUCAAUAAUUAGAAAGCUGGAUAAGUUACUAUGUGCACAACAUUAUCAUAAAGGUUGUGCAAGCGUAAACGUAAAAAAAGAGGUAACUGAUAUUGUUUAUUUGUGACUGUCAGCUGGGAGCAAUGUCCUGAUCAAUUUUAUUAGAAUCAACCUUCAUCCUGUAGCCUGAGUGCAGCUCCUGUCCAAUACUUGGGACUAAAUAUAGGAAAAAAGCAACAAAAAAAAGAAAAGAAAAAAAGUAGAAAAUGGAAAAUACAAAAAAUACAAAAAAUUGUAGGAAAUACAUAAAAGAUUGUUUGAAUUAUUUUUCUAUAAAAAAAACAGCUGUCAUUAGAAGAGAGGUGUUUCAUCUGAACAUGAUAGGAUCAUUGGAUGGAGCAAAGACAGCAUAAUUUUCAGUUUUGUCUGAAGUAUAUAAGUUGUGUUAGCACUUAGCAACAUAAGGAGUAAGUUAAUUUCCAAAAGUCUAGCGCAAAAACAAUCAGGUGACUGCAUGAUGUUUGGAUUAAAAUCAAUUCUUGCCAUUAUGGUAUGUCAUCUAAGUUUCUCUAGUAUAUCUCAGAAAUAUGUUGAGGAGGCAACAGGUUAAAGGCAUUUAAAUUGUCAUAUUUAGUAUUGAUUUAUUUUCCCAUAAUAGGCCAUGACGAGAUAUUAGGCAUAUGUUGAUUUCCAAUAUUUCUGUUAUUCUAUUACUAUCAAAAAAAUGCCUAGAAAAGAAAUUUCAUAGAUAUUUAAAACUAUGUUAGAACUGCAUAAUUAUGUUACAUCUCUGCAAAAUCCACAUUUGGUGUAACUGAGUUGGUUUUGAUUUAGAAAUAAAAAGAUUUAAUCUCUUCAGAAAUAUUGUCUAUGCAUCCAUUUAUCGCAUAAUCCAACUCUUCCUUGAUUACAAAUUCACAUGAAUUUCUUUCUGUUUAAUGUAGAUGAGCCCACAUCAAAUGGCAUUUCAGCAAUCAUGUAUAGCUUGGAGCUCUGAAAAUGAGUGGAUCCAUUAACAUAUUGUGUCAAACAAGACUUGAGAAAGAAGAAAUAGUCCAUUAAGAACCACAAAGUCUACAUUAUCCCUUCAAACCUAAAAUUAGAACUGUUAACUAACACAAGGACAAUGACAUAUUCGAACAAGUAACAUUUUAAUAUUUUAUAUUUAUAACAGUAAUAAAAAAAAGGUAAAAUCUUUGAGAAA